UCCAAGUCUUUUGUGUCAGGUGUUAUCAGUUACCCAGUGAGUUGAAGUCGAGUCAUAAUAAGCAAGGAUUUCAACGUCACCGAGGAAUGCUGCUGGAAAUCAUCACUCAUCGGAUAAGGUGACUCUCCAACGAGAUGGCCUACGUUUCAGAACUUGGCAGACGGAAAUGCGGGUAGUGAUUCGGAGAAAGCUGUGCCAGGAGUUUCAGAUAAGUCAACAGACUAUACCGCACCAUCUUCAGAAUCACUUUCAAU